rnacentral:lncRNA from 1 species
UUGCUUACCGGGAAUGUACUGAUGGACAGUGGAAAGCAGAUGAGUCUCGUGUUCCUUUGACUGCUUGUGCCCGUGUCUGGAUGAAUAAAAGCGGGGUGAAGCAAAGUUACAGUCCCCUGGCUGCCCGAAUACUGAGCGGCCUCUGUGGUUUUAUCACCCAUCCUCAUUCGGCCCCAGGUCAAGGAGGAACCAAGGGUCUGGGUCCGAGAGCGAGGCCACCCAGCGGGUCGGCUCCAGGAGACGGACUCCGGCUCCAGGUCGCCCACAGAAUCGGAUUAGGUUGAAUUUCAACAGGGAAUAAGUGAUGUAAUCUCAUCAACUUCUGCUGAAUUGUUUGAAUAUUUGCUCAAGGAUAGAAAAUAGAAAAUCAGGUGCUUUUAAUCUAUCUGUUUAACACUUAUUCAAUCUUUAAGUCUCAUUCUUUUAGUUAUUAAAGUUCAAUGUAUGUCAACAGGCAAUUUGAAUUAAGGACAAUAACGAAUGGAUGUGUUGAAAGAAAAAUAAGAUGGAAGUGUUUUUUAUGACCUACAAAUCCACAGUAUAUAAAAAUGGAAAUCAAAGCCCUUGGCCAGAUUCAAAAUACUAGAAGAACAAUGUACUAUGCUGUAAGUAGUUUUGGAAGGAUAGGAAAAAUAUGUCUGCAAUUACAAAUAUGGCUCUUCCCAAGUUUCAAUUUCUUUCAUUCUGUAAUUGCAACUAUGUGUUCAGCGGUAAAUAAAUAAGUUCCAGAAGCCCAGCCAAUUUUAUUGGGAAUAAGCUGAG